GCUGGUCAAUGAUGACUAUAUUGGGAGACUGUUGGAUGACUCCUUGCGGAUAUGGGACUGAGCCCAGCA